CAACCUGCCGUCUACUCUUGGACAGCCUUCUGAAAGGAAGAUUAAUACAAGAUGGCAUCAUGAGUCCGCAUGUUCACAUGAUUAAAGGUAUUCCGGUAGACGAUGGGGAUGCGUUCCAUCAGAUAGUAGGCGGGGUAACGGCCCACCUAGUCUUCGAUGGAUAGGGGUUCUGAGAGGAAGGUCCCCCACAUUGGAACUGAGACACGGUCCAAACUCCUACGGGAGGCAGCAGUGAGGAAUAUUGGUCAAUGGGCGAGAGCCUGAACCAGCCAAGUAGCGUGAAGGAUGACUGCCCUAUGGGUUGUAAACCUCUUUAAUAAAGGAAUAAAGUCGGGUAUGUAUACCCGUUUGCAUGCACUUUAUGAAUAAGGAUCGGCUAACUCCGUGCCAGCAGCCGCGGUAAUACGGAGGAUCCGAGCGUUAUCCGGAUUUAUUGGGUUUAAAGGGAGCGUAGAUGGAUGUUUAAGUCAGUUGUGAAGGUUUGCGGCUCAACCGUAAAAUUGCAGUUGAUACUGGAUAUCUUGAGUGCAGUUGAGGCAGGCGGAAUUCGUGGUGUAGCGGUGAAAUGCUUAGAUAUCACGAAGAACUCCGAUUG
rnacentral:rRNA from 1 species